UUGCUCCGACACACUGUAAUUAUGUACAAUUAAUCAAAUCUGUUGAAGUGUGGUAAUUACCGCACACCAGCAGACUCCAGCAGCAUGUAUAUCAGUCUCUCCCUGCUGAAAAAUGUCAUUUGCCACUCUUUAAUUAAAGUGUGCCUGCCACUGUUUUUCAGGGCAGGGACGCUUAUACACGUGACACUCCGGGCACUUUAAUUAGAGUGGCCCUCAGAGCUGCUCUAAUUAAAGUACUCUACCGCCUCCUACAGCACAUGUAUAAAUACCCAGAGGUACUAGAUUUAAUGCAUAUUAACUAAAGCCCAUUAAUGCACAUGUAGACAUGCCCACUAAGGCAGCUCAUUUCUAAUUCAGGUUGAAUAAUUAAAGGCCCUUCUAGACGUAUUUCACAAGUUUCAAUAACAAGCUAGUAAUUUGGUGUGGCUUCAUAGCAAUUUUAUAAACACCUCCUCUAAUAGGGAUCUAAAUUAAUCUUUCUACAUCUCAUUAGUUUAGCUAUCAGAGAGCUUUUGCAAUUGACUUUUCAGCCACCUUCAUUUAAUUUAAAAUAUAAAUGCAAGAUAUUAAUACUUUAUAGAUGCAGUUUUAAUUAGUAAAUCACUACAUCUCAGAGAUAUCAUUCUGUUAUACAGCACCCAACUUCUGCUUCUAGGGCUCUUGGGACUGUUUGAAUGGUGUUUGUUCAUUGUAAGGUUAGGAGCAAUCUAAUAUAGCUUCAGGUUUAUGUAAAAGAAAAUCAAACCUUAGUUUGCCAAAUUAGGAAGUUCUGCUUAGCAAAUGAGUGAUUUUAUUUCUUUAAAAAAACUAUUUCUCCCUAUUCUAUCCCUUAGUUUUAUAACAUGGCACAAGUACUACAAUGCAAGAGAGAUUUAUCAUUACUGUAAUGAUAAUCAUGAAGUUUUAAUGAAUAAUCCUGAAUCAGUGUAAUGCAUCAUGUUUCUAGAGUGCCCUUCAUCCCAACACACUUGACAAACAACAUGCCAACAUCCUGUUCUUACUCUGAUUGCCAUUCGCUUCAUUUGUGUCCUUGUGACAAGAGGCUAGGAUUGGGCAAGGUGUUGCAUGGGAGGAGCGGCACAGUCUUUCAGAAUGCCAGUCAGUCAAUCACAGAACCCAACCUAAAGGAACAGAGCUAUUUCUCAGACUGAUGUUGAAAUCCAGAUGUAAUGGGGGUCCCUCCCCCUGUUACUUGGCAGGCAGGCAGCAGAGGUAAAGGACUGCAAAGCCAUAGGCUGCAAAGCCCAGUCAGCAGAGUCAGCCUUCUAACUGCAGGCAGCAAAAUCCUGGGGGGCUGGUGAGGUGAUUAGCAACCCCUAUGCCCAGCUAAGGAGGUCUGCUGACCAGAAAUGGUGGAGCCAGUCUGGAGAUAUCCCCAGAGCUCCAGGGCUAGAGGGGCAUUCUGACCCUGAUUUCUGGAAAGGAAGGAGCUAUGCAGAAAGGUCUCUGUGGAAGGAGCUAAGUGGUUUUUUGAGUUAUGUCUGUUUGGGUCUGUAACAACCAGAGGCUUGGGAGUGACUGAACUGGGGUGGGGGCACAUGGGGUGCCUGGAAAGCACUUGGCGCUUUGAGCCCUACAGAGGCCAGGGGCCCAGUGCUGAAGCCAAGAUCAGGCUACACGGCCUGGUGAAUGGAGUUAAGAGUAAGACCCCCGAAGUAUGGGCAUGGCUAUGAGGAGGCUGGAAGCCACGAUUAGCACUAGUGAUGAUGUAGAAAGAAUUGAUUAGUGGGCUAGUUAAAAGAUCUGUGAAAGACUGCAUAUUUGGGAGGGUCAAGCCAUGGGAAGAAGACACAAAGCCUCCCCAGAGACUCUGAUAGCCGGCUGCCAGGGGCCCAGAGACUAAGAGUAAGAGGAGCAAGCAAGCCCCAUGAACUGAACUGAGGCAGAAAGAAGAAGAACCUAAGGAAGCCAUGCUGGUAAGGGCAGUCUCCCAAAGUAACCAAAGAUAUGGCAGGUGAAGUGGCAGCCAGACGGAGGGGGAGGGGAGGGGAAGGGUACCCUGACAAGCCAGAGUAGGAAGUAGGAUCUGGGAAACAAACUGGUAGAGGAAACAGUGCUGGUACCCAGUCACAUCAGAGCUUGUAGGAUCCCAUUACUUUCAAAUGAUAAGUACUGUUGUUUGAAAGUAUCCCUGAGGCAGAAAAACUAAGGACAGGAACAAAGCAAUUCUCUAAGGAGAGACUCUGGGAAUAAUUUAGCUCAGGUUGAGAUUUUGUCAUCAUUACAAUUGUCAAUAAAGACCAAAUCUAGAAAGGGGGCAAGUAUGAUUGCUCUGUUAGGAGCAAGAUGACAGAGACUCUUGCUUAAAUGGACCCUACAUACAUCCCCACUGAAAUUUGGCUACUCUGGGAGUACUGGAGAAUAGCCACCAUGACAAUCUGAACAGAAAACAUUGCACAACAGUGCAGAGAGGAAACAUUGUGACUUCAGAGAACCAGGAAAUCUGCUACUGCAAGCAAUGUUAGAAGAUCUUAAGGAUCUGGAUUAAAAGAGGUCAGACAUCCAGAACAGAAAGCAAAAGUAUGCAGCACCUUAAUUUAUGCAUGAAGUUAAUGACUGACAUCUAUAAGAGCAGGGACAGAACCAGAGGGCAUGCAGUCACAUCCCCCCCGCUCCCACCUUUGGCUGUGCUACUCCUAAGUUCUGGGUGCGGGUGUCUGGUUGGGCAUGCUCAUCCCCUCCUUUCCCCUUCUGCUGAGGGAGGGAGGGAAAGGUUGAACAGCAGCCUGCUUCACCCCUGGGCUCUGGGGCUAUGCAAAAGCAGGGGCUCUUGCCAGAUCCUUCCCCAAUCUGCUGGGGAGGUCAGAGUUCACUGCUUGUGCUGAACUCUGGCAGCAGGUUUGCUCACUGGGAAGUCAUCUCAGAGCUUGCUGCAUAUUCAUGGAGUGGCCAAAGAAGUGUAUGACUGCACCCUCCUUGCCCUGUUCCUGGAUCCACUGCCUUGCCCUGGGGAUUUGGGAGUGCGAUGCCAAUGAAAGUGCAUGUAUUUGAAAGCACCUAAGCUGUGAAAAUUAGGCCUCUGGUGCUUAUAGAGAGAAGACAGUGCUUUAUAAUCUUAAAUAUCUCAUCUGAAAGGCCCGCAUGCCAGACUGCAGAUAGUUUCCUGCUCUGUCUAAAAUACCUGAAGAGCUGAGUCACUGCUUCCCUGAUCCCAGCCUGCAGGCUCUGGGAGUCUGGGGACUCCAGCUUGGCGGCUGAGACUCCCCAAGUUCCAGCCCAAACAAAACUCUCCCUUGGGAGUAUCUGUCAGGAUUUGCAUACAUGGAAGUCAAACUUGUGUUGACAGCAGUUUGGGACUAUAACAGAGCAGUCUGUCCCCUUCAAAAGGGACAGGCAGCCCUGGUUAGGACAUUCAGCUGUGGGGCCUUCUGCUACUGAGGGGAUGUCCUACUGGAAGCUUAAAACCCCAGAAGAGAGAGCUGAGAGGAGGCAAACUGUAAGGGAGAAGUGUAAGGAGAAAGGAAGCAGGCUAUGAGCUGAACAAUUUGCUGCACAGGGGGGCCAGGCUGUUGUGCGGGGACCAGAGCCAAAGGGCUCCCCUCCUACCUCCCAGGACAGGGCAGAAGGGGUUGGUUUUGUUGGUGUAUCUGUUUGUUUGUAGGACUUCUAUUUGGGAGGACUGGCUGAGGAGCUCCUCAGGGAGCAAAACCCACCUGCAGAAUCCAGGAGGCCAGCAACCCACUAAAGGGGCCCACUGUACACCAAACUAAUGCUUUUCUAUAACAAGGAUAGGGUUAGAUCUUCCUUCCUAUAGGAAAGUCACUGAGAGUGGCCCGAAGGUAGAAAUGCUCAGCUGUUUUCUCCUCCCAGAACUUACUUCCAAAUUGUUCCUACAUCCUCUCCCCUUCCCUCCCUUCUUGUAGGAUGGUCAAGAGGUUCCACUUCCAACCUUCCUGCCAUCCAACAAAGGAGAGUGAGAAAUCUUUCUUUCUCCUCGCUGUGUCCCUACCCCUUCAGCAGCAUCAGACCAAUAUGCUAAAAUGCAUGAAGUUGGCAGAAUUCUGAACCCAUUGAAUAUGCAAAAUUGGACUACAAGUCCAGGCUGUUUGGUAGGACUUCUGACCAAGUUUGCUUCAUAGAUCUCAGCUAUGAUAUCAGCUUAAAUAACCGCAUCCCUUCAAAUAUUAGAUGCCCUUGAAUUUAAGAUGCACUUAAAUGUUCUGUCUCUGAAUGAAAGAAAAAACAAAGCAUCAGAUAACGCUGCAUUUACAAGGAAACAGCCUCUAUGGGGUUUAUCAAAGCUAUGCUACAUUUAAAAAUUCAAAUGUAAAAUGCAGACCAUUUUAGAAGAUAUAAUUAGGUUUUUUUAGAAGUAUCUUAUAUUUAAAAGAAAAUAGUAUAUCGCUGUACCAAGGUAUGUUGCAUGUUGUUCUGUGAGAGGUUGUUCAUUGUAACUGUUUUGGAUUCAGCAAAGCACAUUACAGUGUUAUAAACCUCUCUUUUCCAAGAGAGCUCAUUUAGAUCUGAAAGAGCUUGUAAAAUGGGCUCUUGCCUACUUAUGGCUCAGACCCUGCAAUAGCCAUAAAACAAAUACAUACAGAAUGAAGAAGCAAGGUAGACUGGACAUUCAUGAGCUGCCUUCUUCACUGCUGCCUAUUACAGCUUCCCAGUCAAAGAGCUUGACUUUGAAAACUGAAUCUUUACUUUGUCCCCUCAAGCAUUUUACUUUCCAUACAGCUUUUGGAUCUAUCUGUCUGUCUACCUAAUUACAAGGGGGAUGUUUGUUUUGUUUUGUCAUUUAUUGCUAUAGUAACUGACCACUUCUACUUACUGCAUCUGUCUGUUCCUUUUUUUUAUUAUUAAAAAUGCAAUGCACAGC